CACCGGCGUGGCCACCUCCGGCCACGCCCGCCCCCGGUCGCCGCUCCCGCCGGCGCGGCCACCUCUGGCCCCGCCCUCGCCCGCUGCGGCCGCCCCGUUGCAUUGCACGGCUCUGAGUCCUAGACGACCUCGUUCCCCUCCACCGUCUCGCCUCUCUCUUGGUUCCUCGCGGUGACGAUUGGGAGAGCGCCUCCUCUCCUCCCUCACUCCCUCCGUGAGCUCCUCGCCGGUGGCGCGCGCUGACACCCGUUGCCACGUCUUCUCCGCUGACAUGGGCUCACCAGGGGACUCAUAUGGAAUAGAGAUUUUUGCCCUGGUGGCAUAAUUUUUGGAAACUAAAUUGUGUUCGGUGUGAGAGCUAUGUGCUUAGCUUUCUCCUGAGAGGUAAAUUGGACUUUGGCGUGAGCCCAAAAUGGAGGCACUUCAGAACAUGACACUGUAUCGCGGAGCGGUCUUCUAGGCGACCUCGCGGGUUUGGCUAUGUAACAUUCGCCUCAACUGACGAUGCAAAGAAUGUUCUGGGAGCCGUACAUUAGAAGUGAAGAUAGCUAUUCCAAAGGUACACAAUGUUUGCUAACAUCAUUAUCCUUGGUCUUCACCUCCAUCUACACCUACCGAACAUCAGACCCCUCCAGCUACCUUGCCGACGCAUGAACGAGAAGACGAGUCAGACUUUGUCGAAACCCUCUUCGCUAGUGGAGGUAUCGACCAUCACUCUUCACUGUAACCCGAUGGUGAUCGGCGUCCGUGAGCUUCCAUGUUAUUGUGUUCUGAUACUUGAGACUUUUAUUAUGACUAUGUAUGAGAUAUUGUCUCUUAUUAGUACUGGAUGAGAUGUGUCUUAUUAUGACUAUGGAUGAGACUUUUGUGAUGUAAUUAAUGAGACUAUGGAUUUAAAUAUUGUUAUGUGAUUAUGUGUGAGAUGUUUUAUGU